UGGGGAAUAUUGCACAAUGGGCGAAAGCCUGAUGCAGCAACGCCGCGUGAGUGAUGAAGGCCUUCGGGUUGUAAAGCUCUGUCUUUUGGGACGAUAAUGACGGUACCAAAGGAGGAAGCCACGGCUAACUACGUGCCAGCAGCCGCGGUAAUACGUAGGUGGCAAGCGUUGUCCGGAUUUACUGGGCGUAAAGGAUGCGUAGGCGGAUUUUUAAGUGGGAUGUGAAAACCCUAAGCUUAACUUGGGGGACUGCAUUUCAUACUGGAAAUCUAGAGUGCGGGAGAGGAGAAUGGAAUUCCUAGUGUAGCGGUGAAAUGCGUAGAGAUUAGGAAGAACACCAGUGGCGAAGGCGAUUCUCUGGACCGUAACUGACGCUGAGGCAUGAAAGCGUGGGUAGCAAACAGGAUUAGAUACCCUGGUAGUCCACGCCGUAAACGAUGAGUACUAGGUGUAGGAGGUAUCGACCCCUUCUGUGCCGCAGUUAACACAAUAAGUACUCCGCCUGGGAAGUACGAUCGCAAGAUU
rnacentral:rRNA from 1 species